GACGAACGCUGGCGGCGUGCUUAACACAUGCAAGUCGAGCGGUAAGGCCCUUUCGGGGGUACACGAGCGGCGAACGGGUGAGUAACACGUGGGUGACCUGCCCUCAGCUCUGGGAUAAGCCUGGGAAACCGGGUCUAAUACCGGAUAUGACUCCAUGACGCAUGUUGUGGGGUGGAAAGCCUUGUGCGGCUGAGGAUGGGCCCGCGGCCUAUCAGCUUGUUGGUGGGGGAUGGCCUACCAAGGCGACGACGGGUAGCCGGCCUGAGAGGGCGACCGGCCACACUGGGACUGAGACACGGCCCAGACUCCUACGGGAGGCAGCAGUGGGGAAUCUUGCGCAAUGGGCGAAAGCCUGACGC
rnacentral:rRNA from 1 species